AACGCGAAGAACCUUACCAGGUCUUGACAUCUAGUGCCAUCCUAAGAGAUUAGGAGUUCCCUUCGGGGACGCUAAGACAGGUGGUGCAUGGCUGUCGUCAGCUCGUGUCGUGAGAUGUUGGGUUAAGUCCCGCAACGAGCGCAACCCUUGUUAUUAGUUGCCAGCAUUAAGUUGGGCACUCUAAUGAGACUGCCGGUGACAAACCGGAGGAAGGUGGGGAUGACGUCAAGUCAUCAUGCCCCUUAUGACCUGGGCUACACACGUGCUACAAUGGGCAGUACAACGAGAAGCGAGCCUGCGAAGGCAAGCGAAUCUCUGAAAGCUGUUCUCAGUUCGGACUGCAGUCUGCAACUCGACUGCACGAAGCUGGAAUCGCUAGUAAUCGCGGAUCAGCACGCCGCGGUGAAUACGUUCCCGGGUCUUGUACACACCG
rnacentral:rRNA from 1 species